rnacentral:lncRNA from 1 species
UCGUGUUCGACAUAUACUCGCCACUCUGAUAUACGCAAAUUCAUUUUUUUUUUUUACAUUUUCUUCUUUCUGCUCGUUGUUUAGCUCUUAGUUGAUGCCUUUUUCAAAUCUAAUCCUAUCCCCCUCCCUCUCCCUAAAAAAUCAACUGGUUAGUACACAUCUAUAAAAACGCCAUAAUUAUUAUUUUAGGGAACCCCUAGCAUUGUUAGCUUAUAAAGAGGAAAGACCCAUCGGCCAUCGGUGUUAAUUUUCCUAUUGUCAUUUUCUUAUGAAACGGUUGGCGAAUGUCAACCAAACUUACGAGGAAUUUGUAAAAUAC